UCUCCGUUGGUGAACCAGCUGAGGGAUCAUUACAGGACUCGCAAGACUCCUUCACCCUGUGAACCUCACUACAAGCACGUUGCUUCGGCGGGUGUCCCGGCGGGGGUUUUCCCUCGCCGGGGCGCACAGCCCGCCGGCAGCCUACUAUACUCUGUCUCUUUGCGUUGGCAUCUCGAGAAAAAACAAACAAGUUAAAACUUUCAACAACGGAUCUCUUGGUUCUG
rnacentral:misc_RNA from 1 species